GUUGUCGUGGCUGAGUGGUUAAGGCGAUGGACUUUAAAUCUAUUGGGGUUUCCCCGUGCAUAUUCAAAUCCUGCUGACAACA